rnacentral:rRNA from 1 species
AACGAACGCUGGCGGCAGGCCUAACACAUGCAAGUCGAACGAGAAGCCACCUUCGGGUGGUGGACAGUGGCAGACGGGUGAGUAACGCGUGGGAACGUGCCUUUCGGUUCGGGAUAACCCAGGGAAACUUGGGCUAAUACCGGAUACGCCCUUCGGGGGAAAGAUUCAUUGCCGAAAGAUCGGCCCGCGUCGGAUUAGCUAGUUGGUGGGGUAAAAGCCUACCAAGGCGACGAUCCGUAGCUGGUCUGAGAGGAUGACCAGCCGCACUGGGAUUGAGACACGGCCCAGACUCCUACGGGAGGCAGCAGUGGGGAAUAUUGGACAAUGGGCGCAAGCCUGAUCCAGCCAUGCCGCGUGGGUGAAGAAGGCCUUAGGGUUGUAAACCCCUUUCAGCGGGGAAGAUAAUGACGGUACCCGCAGAAGAAGUCCCGGCUAACUCCGUGCCAGCAGCCGCGGUAA